rnacentral:rRNA from 1 species
AGAGCGAACGCUGGCGGCAGGCCUAACACAUGCAAGUCGAGCGCCCGUAGCAAUACGGGAGCGGCAGACGGGAUAGUAACACGUGGGAACGCGCCCUUCGGUUCGGAAUAACUCAGGGAAACUUGAGCUAAUACCGGAUACGCCCUUACGGGGAAAGAUUUAUUGCCGAAGGAACGGCCCGCGUCCGAUUAGCUAGUUGGUGAGGUAAUGGCUCACCAAGGCGACGAUCGGUAGCUGGUCUGAGAGGAUGACCAGCAUCACUGGGACUGAGACACGGCCCAGACUCCUACGGGAGGCAGCAGUGGGGAAUAUUGGACAAUGGGCGCAAGCCUGAUCCAGCCAUGCCGCGUGGAUGAUGAAGGCCUUAGGGUUGUAAAGUCCUUUUAACGGGGAAGAUAAUGACGGUACCCGUAGAAUUAAGCCCCGGCUAACUUCGUGCCAGCAGCCGC